AACGUAGGACGCAAGCGUUAUCCGGAGUUACUGGGCGUAAAGGGCGUGUAGGCGGCUUUUCAAGUUCGUCGUGAAAGACCCCGGCUAAACCGGGGGAGGUCGAGGGAGACUGAGAAGCUAGAGGGCGGUAGAGGGACAGGGAAUUCCGGGUGUAGCGGUGAAAUGCGUAGAUAUCCGGAGGAACACCGAUGGCGAAGGCAACCGCCUGGGCCUGUACUGACGCUGAGACACGAAAGCGUGGGGAGCAAACAGG
rnacentral:rRNA from 1 species